UACGUAGGGUGCGAGCGUUGUCCGGAAUUAUUGGGCGUAAAGAGCUCGUAGGCGGUCUGUCGCGUCGGUCGUGAAAACUUGGGGCUUAACCCUGAGCUUGCGGUCGAUACGGGCAUGACUGGAGUUCGGUAGGGGAGACUGGAAUUCCUGGUGUAGCGGUGAAAUGCGCAGAUAUCAGGAGGAACACCUAUAGCGAAGGCAGCUCGCUGGGACGUUACUGACGCUGAGGCGCGAAAGCGUGGGGAGCGAACAGG
rnacentral:rRNA from 1 species